UCCAGCAAUAUUGCAGAAAGGAGAAUUGCAAGUGAAGGGACGGAAGACGGAAAGGACGUCUCAUUUAACAGUGCUUCCCAUUGGAAACGUCUCCGGUCGAUGACCGUGCAGCUCCAGGUCCUGGGGUUCUCUCCUACUGUUUGAACCAAUGACCCAGACCUCAAGCUCCAGGAAAUAGGUGAGGAAACCAUGCCCAAAGAAGUAAAGAAACGUGCCUGAGACCAUACAAUCAGCAAGUUGAGGAGCUGGGAUUUGCACCGGUAGUCUGGCCCUAGAAUCUGAAGUUUUAACCAUAACUAUGUUGCCUCCCAAGGUGAUGGGGUUAGUCCCUACCCUUGAGGAUUUACAUUCUCCCUGGGCAGGGGUUGGGGGUUAUCAGACCUG